rnacentral:rRNA from 1 species
GAACGCUGGCGGAAUGCUUUACACAUGCAAGUCGAACGGCAGCACGGACUUCGGUCUGGUGGCGAGUGGCGAACGGGUGAGUAACAUAUCGGAACGUAUCCAAUAAUGGGGGAUAACUAAUCGAAAGGUUGGCUAAUACCGCAUACGCCCUACGGGGGAAAGCAGGGGAUCUUCGGACCUUGCGUUAAUGGAGCGGCUGAUAUCUGAUUAGCUAGUUGGUGAGGUAAAGGCUCACCAAGGCGACGAUCAGUAGCUGGUCUGAGAGGACGACCAGCCACACUGGAACUGAGACACGGUCCAGACUCCUACGGGAGGCAGCAGUGGGGAAUUUUGGACAAUGGGCGCAAGCCUGAUCCAGCCAUUCCGCGUGAGUGAAGAAGGC